rnacentral:rRNA from 1 species
AAACGCUUGAAGUCAGUCGCGUCUUCCAGGGAUCAAGUUACCUAUGGGUGACCGCACUUUCUGGUCGACGGGUCAGCAUCAAUUUUGAUCAUUGGAAAAAUGCUGAGGGAAAGUGGCAUCUCCGGAUGUGUUAUAGCCUUUGGUUUAUAUACAAUGAUUGGGAUUGAGGAACUCAGUGCUUGCACUCAGGAUGUUGGCAUAAUGGCUUUAAUCGA